rnacentral:tRNA from 1 species
AGUAGCUCAGUGGUAGAGCAAUCGGCUGUUAACCGAUCGGUCGAUGGUUCGAGUCCCUCCU